CAUGGGCUACCUUGAAGAAGAUCAUGGAAUGGAUAAGCUUGGAUGUGGCCAUCUUUAUUUGAUGCUUUGCUCUUCAAGAUAAUAUAAUUGUGCAUUUGUGUGUUUCAUGGGCUACCUUGAAGAAGAUCAUGGAAUGGAUAAGCUUGGAUGUGGCCAUCUUUAUUUGAUGCUUUGCUCUUCAAGAUAAUAUAAUUGUGCAUUUGUGUGUUGCUUGAUUCUAAA
rnacentral:lncRNA from 1 species